UACGUAGGGUGCGAGCGUUGUCCGGAAUUACUGGGCGUAAAGAGCUCGUAGGUGGUUUGUCGCGUUGUUCGUGAAAACCGGGGGCUUAACCCUCGGCGUGCGGGCGAUACGGGCAGACUGGAGUACUGCAGGGGAGACUGGAAUUCCUGGUGUAGCGGUGGAAUGCGCAGAUAUCAGGAGGAACACCGGUGGCGAAGGCGGGUCUCUGGGCCAAAACUGACGCUGAGGAGCGAAAGCGUGGGGAGCGAACAGG
rnacentral:rRNA from 1 species